rnacentral:rRNA from 1 species
AUUGAACGCUGGCGGCAGGCCUAACACAUGCAAGUCGAGCGGAUGAAGGGAGCUUGCUCCUGGAUUCAGCGGCGGACGGGUGAGUAAUGCCUAGGAAUCUGCCUGUUAGUUGGGUAUAACGUCCGUAAACGGGCGCUAAUACCGCAUACGUCCUUAGGGAGAAAGUGGGGGAUCUUCGGACCUCACGCUAUCAGAUGAGCCUAGGUCGGAUUAGCUAGUUGGUGGGGUAAAGGCCUACCAAGGCAACGAUCCGUAACUGGUCUGAGAGGAUGAUCAGUCACACUGGAACUGAGACACGGUCCAGACUCCUACGGGAGGCAGCAGUGGGGAAUAUUGGACAAUGGGCGAAAGCCUGAUCCAGCCAUACCGCGUGUGUGAAGAAGGUCUUCGGAUUGUAAAGCACUUUAAGUUGGGAGGAAGAGCAGUAAGUUAAUACCUUGCUGUUUUGACGUUACCAACAGAAUAAGCACCGGCUAACUUCGUG